UACGUAGGGGGCGAGCGUUGUCCGGAUUUAUUGGGCGUAAAGAGCUCGUAGGCGGUUCGGUAAGUCGGAUGUGAAAUCUCCACGCUCAACGUGGAGGGGCCAUUCGAUACUGCCGUGACUCGAGUCCGGUAGGGGAGUGUGGAAUUCCCGGUGUAGCGGUGAAAUGCGCAGAGAUCGGGAGGAACACCCGUAGCGAAGGCGGCACUCUGGGCCGGAACUGACGCUGAGGAGCGAAAGCGUGGGGAGCAAACAGG
rnacentral:rRNA from 1 species